CAAGGAACAAUGUGACCAGGAUUUACAAUGAUUGAAGCUUGCAAUCUUAGGCAUGUCAUAGAUUUAUGACAAAUACACACCCACAUUAUGAAUGAGAACUUUUAUAUGCACACAAUCAGCACUCUCAAAGAGGUUACUAGCAGACAAUUGAAGAAGCAAGAGUGAAGAAAGUGCCCCAAAAAAGGAGAUGGUCAGCAUAAGCAAUGCUAGGAGAACAACAACAUAAGGUGUAAUCACAAUUUAGGCUAGGGCUACGAUGAGUUUGUUCUUUG
rnacentral:lncRNA from 1 species